CAGCCGCCGCGGUAACACGGAGGGUGCUAGCGUUGUUCGGAAUCACUGGGCGUAAAGGGCGCGUAGGCGGCCUGUUAAGUCGGAUGUGAAAGCCCGGGGCUCAACCCCGGAACUGCAUCCGAGACUGGCAGGCUUGAGACCGGGAGAGGAGGGUGGAAUAUCCAGUGUAGAGGUGAAAUUCGUAGAUAUUGGAUGGAACACCGGUGGCGAAAGCGGCUCUCUGGCCCGGAUCUGACGCUGAGGCGCGAAAGCGUGGGGAGCAAACAGGAUUAGAGACCCCCGUAGUCCCUGUCUCUUAUAC
rnacentral:rRNA from 1 species